rnacentral:siRNA from 1 species
UACCAGUGUUCAGACGGUGGACCA